rnacentral:rRNA from 1 species
AUUGAACGCUGGCGGCAGGCCUAACACAUGCAAGUCGAGCGAGCGGCGGACGGGUGAGUAAUGUAUGGGGACUGCCCGAUAGAGGGGGAUAACUACUGGAAACGGUGGCUAAUACCGCAUACUAUCGGAUAACCCAUAUGGUAUUAGCUAGUAGGUAAGGUAAUGGCUUACCUAGGCGACUAUCCCUAGCUGGUCUGAGAGGAUGAUCCGCCACACGGGGACGGAGACACGGCCCAGACGCCUACGGAGGCAGCAGUGGGGAAUAUUGCACAAUGGGCGCAAGCCUGAUAGAGCCAUGCCGCGUGUAUGAAGAAGGCCUUAGGGUUGUAAAGUACUUUCAGUCGGGAGGCGUUACCGAAAGAAGAAGCACCGGCUAACUCCGUGCCAGCAGCCGCGGUAAUUC